ensembl:lncRNA
UUGGAACCCUUUUUUUCUAACAGUAUAGGUAAUAGCGCAGCUCAUGUUGGAUUCCAUACUCCCCCUGUCCAUACCCCUGCUGCUGGUCAGCUUUUUGUCUUUGAUUUGUGUGUCCUGGAGGAUCCAGCUCGGGCAACCUGAGUCGUGUAUCUACACAAAAGCUUCCCUUGCAUCUCUCUGUUCCGCUACUGUUGUCAAGAUUUGUCAUCAGACACAACCACCACCUGUUGGUUCAGCCACAUCCUCUGGUAUGUCCGUUGCACCUGCACAGCUAGGGAGGUGUGGCCAGAGCAACUUACGAGACUGAAGCAGCAUAAUGCCCGAAGAGCAUAAAACCACGUAGGCCUAACACUCUGGAACCUCAGGGCUAAUCUGCGGUCUCCUCCACCAUGCUGGUAAAAGCGCUCCUUCAGACCUCACUGGUCCUAUGGCUGGCACAGCACACACUACAAGGAGGUAAGAGACAUAACCAAGACUAUCUGUG